UCAUUCAAACUUUUUCAACAGAACCACUGUUUUUGUUUUCGUGCUUUGUUAUCUAUUCAUACCGAACUUUCCUUUAUUUUUUUCUCAAAUUUAUGAGAUAAAAAGUAAUUGAUUAUCUUUAAAUUAUUAAGUGAUGAGAGUCUAUCGAAUGAUGACUUUGAGUUAAUAGAGUGAUGUUUUCUUUAAAAUAUUUUUUUUAUAGCUUUUUUUUUUUAUGAACUUGUUUGUAUGCUCCUAACUCAAGAAACCUCGUGCAUAUUCUUUGUGAUGCUGUAGUAUACCGGAUUUUUAAUUCAGAAGUAAGUGAAAAUAAAAAUAGUAUGAAAUACUAUUGUUAUUGAACUUAGAGGAGUAAAAGAGAAUUUUGAAAUGAUUUAUGGUGAAAUUUGAAAAAAAAAAUUUGGAAUUUUUUUUAUCGGAAUGGGGCUUAUACUACAACUGAAAAAUUGACAGUGGCGAAAAAUUUAAAAAAUUUAGAAAUUUGUCGAAACUAUUUUUUUGAGGUUGGAUUUAAAAUUUCAUGUCAUCUGGAUGGAGCCCGACUGUAAUCUAUUAAAUAUUUUGGUCGAUAGAACUUUCGGUGGCCUAAAAUGAUUCAAAACUGAAAAAAUAAGAUUAAAUCCUUAUGUUUAAUUUUAUUUCAGUUUGCCUAUUAAAUUUGAGCACAAACAGAUAUUCAGAAGAGCCCUAAUUAGACGUAUCAGAUCAGAAUUGGACUAAAGUGAGAAACUUGAAUGGUUGGGGACCUUUUAUCAUAUUGUUACCUCACGCUAGGUGGGUUUUGAGUUGCCGAAAACGGUGAAGUUCCUUCUACGUCUAUUUGUAGGCAUAUGGAUAUGUAUAUAAUGUAUAUGUUGAUAGAGGAAGUUGAUAGUAUAAAAUUGAAUAUAAGAAUUAGAAUUUUAAUAUGGUUGUAUAUAAGUAUUCAUAUAUUAUUAUAUUGUGUGAAUCGUUCGUCCAACAAGCGUGACAUACGUAUAUACAAGGACCAUAUAUGUUGGUAGAGUUGAUAUUAGCAUAAAAUUGAGUAGAGUAUGAAUUUUUGUUGUUUUCACGUGGAUAUUAUAUAUGAUGUUAGAGGGCAAUCAUACUAUGGAAUUGAGUAAAAAGAUAACUUUUAUAUCCUAUAUGUGUGGAUUCUAAUCUAUACUGUAUGGCAUGAACCACAAAUUCAUUAGUCAUAAUAUGUAAAAUUGUUAUUAGUGGGUUAUUUUGUAUAUGCUCAUGAGGCCGAGAGGGGCCAUUUAAUAGCAUGUAUGUGAUGAGUCAUUUAUUAUCCAUUUGCACUCUACAUGAAAUGAUUUAUGUGAUAAAGGUCGUGAUUUAACGUGGUGGCAGUAGAUCAAUUUUGGAUAUUAAGCGGUAGAUUAUUGUGCUGGUAGAAACAUAUAUAGGUGUUAGUAUAAAUAAUUUUUGUUAUAGAGAUAACUUUAUCAACAUGUAGAUUAUGUUGGAUGAGUCUAUACUAGAUUAUAUGAGUAAUAAAUUGCGUCGCGUUUGGUUC
rnacentral:lncRNA from 1 species